rnacentral:lncRNA from 1 species
AUAAAUUCAUGGGAUAUUCAUAAAGUGAUCAAAAUCCUCUCUUCUUGAUAAUCAAAUAAAUCAAGAAGAUACACAAAUCCUCCUUUCAUGAAGAUUAAAUCUAAAUGUUCCUACGUUAGAAAAAUACGUCACUAACGACCCACGAAUUAUGGAGAAAUUCAUAUCCAAAUUUUCCUACAUUCGAGAAAUACGCUACUGAUUAAAUCUAAAUGUUCCUACGUUAGAAAAAUACGUCACUAACGACCCACGAAUUAUGGCAAAAUUCAUAUCCAAAUCUUCCUACAUUCGAGAAAUACGCUACUGAUGGCCCUCGAAUUUAGGAGAAAAUAAGGGAGAAGAAUCAAGGAGGAAUAGAUUUGUACCCACAUCAUUUAUUAAUAAAAAUUGUUGUUUCUUCAUAUUUUUAUUUGUGAUUGAAGUUUAUUUUUCA